AAUCUGUAUAACUAACACGCAUAAUUAUACACUUGAAAAUUCAAAUCUGAUAAACUGUUCUAUAUAGCUUUAAUUUCAUAUGUUAAAUAUCUAUUUUGAAAUUUAUGACAUGGCACAUGAUGAUGUAACAAUUUUUUUUAUUGAUUCAACGGCCGUUGCCCACCACCAAAACGAACAGAAAAUGGACACCCUAUUUGAAGCAUAACACAUGUCAUUUAUUGAUUAUGAGUUUGCUUCACACGACUGUAUGUUGCUAUUCAAAUCAAAUAUCCAAGCCGACACAAUUGAUUGCUUCAUCAACACGUCGUAUUUCUUGUAUUGAAUAUAUUCAUGAUUGAAUUUCAAUAAAGACGUUUUUGAAUUUGUAUUACAAACAAGCAUAAUGUAUUUAAUAUAUAGUCUAUAUAGCUUUAAUGUCAAUAAUUAUAUACCCAUUUUUAAUUCAUGUCAUGGCAUUAUACACACUUAUAGAACUUAUCAAGAAAGUGUACAACGAAUUUAUCAAUUUUCUUCUUCAGAAAAUUCACACCAUAGUUGAAGCAGCAUGAAAACCCACCUUGUCAAGCAAAGAUAAACGCAAUAAACUAUUUAAUAAAUAGUUGAUGCAAAAAAUACUAGAGGGACAGUCAAACUCAUGAAUCGAAAAUAAACUGACAACACCAUGGCUAAAAAUGAAAAAGACAAACAGACAAACAAUAGUACACAUGAUACAACAUAGAAAAUGAAAGCUAUACUUAAUUGUAGUUUAAACAUCGGUUAACAUUAUAUUUGUGAUUAUUUUAAAA
rnacentral:lncRNA from 1 species